GCAGUCGACGGUAACAGGAAGCAGCUUGCUGCUUUGCUGACGAGUGGCGGACGGGUGAGUAAUGUCUGGGAAACUGCCUGAUGGAGGGGGAUAACUACUGGAAACGGUAGCUAAUACCGCAUAACGUCGCAAGACCAAAGAGGGGGACCUUCGGGCCUCUUGCCAUCGGAUGUGCCCAGAUGGGAUUAGCUAGUAGGUGGGGUAACGGCUCACCUAGGCGACGAUCCCUAGCUGGUCUGAGAGGAUGACCAGCCACACUGGAACUGAGACACGGUCCAGACUCCUACGGGAGGCAGCAGUGGGGAAUAUUGCACAAUGGGCGCAAGCCUGAUGCAGCCAUGCCGCGUGUAUGAAGAAGGCCUUCGGGUUGUAAAGUACUUUCAGCGGGGAGGAAGGCGAUAAGGUUAAUAACCUUGUCGAUUGACGUUACCCGCAGAAGAAGCACCGGCUAACUCCGUGCCAGCCGCCGCGGGU
rnacentral:rRNA from 1 species